GAAUCCAGUGAAGAAAGUCCAUGAAAACUGAGAGGUGCUGUGAUUUGAUUUACAACCGUAAGCUAACACUGUGGCCGUGGUUGGAAGGGUAGCCCCCAAGCCCUCCUGGGCAUGGCCUCCCCUGAUUAGGAACGCUUCUCCACCAGCUGAUGAGAUGAGUCAGUCAUACUCCAUAGACAGUUGCCUGCACGGACGUCGUCUUGCCUUCCGGCUCGUCCACAGCUCGCCUCCGUCACUGCCCUUAACACAUUCUGGUAUUGUCAGCAGUUUCAAGUUUUGCUGAAACAUCGGGGUCAUCUCAUAUUCUGCCUCAAGCCUGUCAAGUUUGAAGUCUGCAGAUCUCUGGCCACAAUUAGGCAUUUAAUUAAUGUUGUUGUAGAUGUCUUUCCUGUUUGAGUAAGGACUAAGCACGUCAGUGUCUUCACUGCAGAGGCGUGUGUACGGAACUGCCCUCUACAUCUGACCUUUCGGACAAGGCCACCAUGUCACUUCCUAAAUGUGUUUUCUCAUCUUUCUCAAUACUGACACACCGGUCAACCUGCCCAAUGAGACCAUAACCUCAUUUAUGGGAGAAAAUGUAAAGGACCCAUUUCUUGACUUGUCUCUAUUGUCACAAGUUGCUUUAAUUGUCACAAGUUGCUUCGAAAAACUUUAAAAAAAGUAGUAAUA